CUCACUCGAUCGGCGAAUAUUGCCCAGAAUGCACUGCGUUCAUACCAGAAUGCAUUGCGUGUAACCCACAAUACACUGCGUUUGAAUUAUUCAAAGAUGUCGGACGGUUGCGCUAGAAAGAGGACUUAAAAUAGUCAUGUGUGUCACAGUUGGAGCUGAAAGGAAAGCAGAGAUUUGUCCUCGCAGGCGGACGCCACUUUACCCGUCCUACUGGUUCCUGGUGUGGCUCAACAUCUGUGGCUCCCAGCAGUCCACUUCUCUGAUGCACAGAUUGUGCAGAACUGAACUGCAGGCAAUGAUUUUCAUUGCAAAGAGCGUGCCUUGGCGUGGUGCUGGUUGUAACGGGCCUGAACCGCAUUCCUCAUGGGUUCCUUGUAGGGUGUCAGCAGCGUGAUGGGAUGUGCAAUGAGGGAUACCCACCAUCACCCAAAAGGAUCCUUCAGGGCCUUUAUUCUUCAGUGGCAGCCCUCAAUGCUCCCCACGACCUUUUGGAAGGUGGAAGACCAAGCAAGCUGCUAUAAAACCAGAGGUGACUAAUGGCAGUUCAUUCCCACUGGAUGCUGGGUGACCCUGCUCAUCAGCUGGAGGAUGCGGUCUGACGUCCUGUGGACAACGUCACUUACAGUGGACCGUGGCAUGUCAAAGGCCCUGGCUACCACACUGUAUGAUGUGCCACAUGCCAGCCAGAAAAGAAACACCAGG